CGCCGCGUGAGGGAAGACGGCCUACGGGUUGUAAACCUCUUUCAGCAGGGACGAAGCGCAAGUGACGGUACCUGCAGAAGAAGCACCGGCCAACUACGUGCCAGCAGCCGCGGUAAGACGUAGGGUGCGAGCGUUGUCCGGAUUUAUUGGGCGUAAAGAGCUCGUAGGCGGCUUGUCGCGUCGACCGUGAAAACUUGGGGCUCAACCCCAAGCCUGCGGUCGAUACGGGCAGGCUAGAGUUCGGUAGGGGAGACUGGAAUUCCUGGUGUAGCGGUGAAAUGCGCAGAUAUCAGGAGGAACACCGGUGGCGAAGGCGGGUCUCUGGGCCGAUACUGACGCUGAGGAGCGAAAGCGUGGGGAGCGAACAGGAUUAGAUACCCUGGUAGUCCACGCUGUAAACGUUGGGCGCUAGGUGUGGGGGGCCUCUCCGGUUCUCUGUGCCGCAGCUAACGCAUUAAGCGCCCCGCCUGGGGAGUACGGCCGCAAGGCUAAAACUCAAAGGAAUUGACGGGGGCCCGCACAAGCGGCGGAGCAUGCGGAUUAAUUCGAUGCAACGCGAAGAACCUUAUCUGGGUUUGACAUGGCCGCAAAACUUCCAGAGAUGGGAGGUCCUUCGGG
rnacentral:rRNA from 1 species